rnacentral:misc_RNA from 1 species
AACGGUCUAUACCUGCGGUACCUGCGGAGGAUCAUUACCGAGUUAUCAACUCCCAAACCCCUGUGAACAUACCCGAACGUUGCCUCGGCGGGACCGCCCCGGCGCCCCUAGCGGCCCGGAACCAGGCGCCCGCCGGAGGACCCAAACUCUUGCUUUAAACAGUGGCAUACUCUCUGAGUCUCACAAACAAAAAAUAAAUCAAAACUUUUAGCAACGGAUCUCUAGAUCGGAAGAGCACAC